rnacentral:rRNA from 1 species
UACGAAGGGUGCAAGCGUUACUCGGAAUCACUGGGCGUAAAGCGUGCGUAGGCGGUUCGUUAAGUCUGUUGUGAAAGCCCUGGGCUCAACCUGGGAACUGCAGUGGAUACUGGCGAGCUAGAGUACGGUAGAGGAAGGUGGAAUUCCCGGUGUAGCGGUGAAAUGCGUAGAGAUCGGGAGGAACACCAGUGGCGAAGGCGGCCUUCCGGACCAGUACUGACGCUGAGGCACGAAAGCGUGGGGAGCAAACAGG